GGUGGGGACCUUCGGGCCUGCCGGCUCGAGAGCGAGCCAUGUCCUAUCAGCUUGUUGGUGGGGUAACGGACUACCAAAGCUACGACGGGUACCGGGACUGAGAGGUUGACCCGGCGCAUCGGGACUGAGAGGGUGCCCGGACUCCUACGGGAGGCUGCAGUAACGAAUAUUGGGCAAUGGGCGAAAGCCUGACCCAGCGACGCCGCGUGUGGGAAGAAUGCCUUCGGGUUGUAAACCACUGUCAGGGAUUACCAACCAACCGGUGUGAAUAGCGCCGGGAGUUGAGGAGUCCCAGAGGAAGUCACGGCUAACUUCGUGCCAGCAGCCGCGGUAAUACGAAGGUGGCUAGCGUUGUUCGGAAUCACUGGGCUUAAAGAGCACGUAGGCGGAUGAUCAAGCGUCUUGUGAAAGCCCUCGGCUCAACCGGGGAAUUGCUUGGCGAACUGAUCAUCUUGAGGCAGGUAGGGGCGAGUGGAACUCUUGGUGGAGCGGUGGAAUGCUUAGAUCUCAAGAGGAACGCCAGAGGCGAAUGCGACUCGCUGGGCCUGACCUGACGCUGAGGUGCGAAAGCCAGGGGAGCGAACGGGAUUAGAUACCCCGGUAGUCCUGGCCCUAAACGAUGUCCACUAGGUCGG
rnacentral:rRNA from 1 species